rnacentral:rRNA from 1 species
UGGGGGAAUAUUGGGCAAUGGGCGCAAGCCUGACCCAGCAACGCCGCGUGAAGGAUGAAGGUUUUCGGAUUGUAAACCUCUGUCUUCAGGGACGAAAAUGACGGUACCUGAGGAGGAAGCUCCGGCUAACUACGUGCCAGCAGCCGCGGUAAUACGUAGGGAGCGAGCGUUGUCCGGAAUUACUGGGUGUAAAGGGAGCGUAGGCGGGGCUUUAGGUCAGGUGUGAAAUGUAUGGGCUCAACCCGUAAACUGCACUUGAAACUGAGGCUCUUGAGUGAAGUAGAGGCAGGCGGAAUUCCUAGUGUAGCGGUGAAAUGCGUAGAUAUUAGGAGGAACAUCAGUGGCGAAGGCGGCCUGCUGGGCUUUUACUGACGCUGAGGCUCGAAAGCGUGGGGAGCAAACAGGAUUAGAUACCCUGGUAGU